rnacentral:rRNA from 1 species
GUGGCCAACGGGCGACAUAGGAAACACUCUAUGAUUUCGCUUGAAUGUGGUUCUGUGAUUGUAGAAGGGACCAAAACUUUAUUGUCCCAUGCUACUAACUAUUAUAAAGAUCUGUUUGGACCGGCCCUUGGCAAUAUUUGCCACAUUGAUGCUUCUCUUUGGUCCCAGGAUGAAAAAAUCUCACCUGAGGAUAAUGAGGACCUGACUCGACCUUUUUCUCUUGAGGAAGUUAAAAAGGCUUUAUUUGAGAUGAAAUCUAAUCGAGCCCCUGGUCCGGACAAUAUCCCUGUUGAAAUCUACCAACAUUGUUGGGAUGUGGUGGGCCCGGACCUUUUCAGCUUGUUUAAAUGGUUCUAUGAAGGCAAGCUGGAUGUGUAG